rnacentral:rRNA from 1 species
GUAGGUGGCAAGCGUUGACCGGAAUUAUUGGGCGUAAAGCGCGCGCAGGCGGUCCUUUAAGUCUGAUGUGAAAGCCCACGGCUCAACCGUGGAGGGUCAUUGGAAACUGGGGGACUUGAGUACAGAAGAGGAAAGCGGAAUUCCAAGUGUAGCGGUGAAAUGCGUAGAGAUUUGGAGGAACACCAGUGGCGAAGGCGGCUUUCUGGUCUGUAACUGACGCUGAGGCGCGAAAGCGUGGGGAGCAAACAGGAUUAGAUACCCUGGUAGUCCACGCCGUAAACGAUGAGUGCUAAGUGUUAGGGGGUUUCCCGCCCCCUUAGUGCUGCAGCUAACGCAUUAAGCACUCCGCCUGGGGAGUACGGCCGCAAGGCUG